UACGUAGGGGGCUAGCGUUGUCCGGAAUCAUUGGGCGUAAAGAGCGUGUAGGCGGCCCGGUAAGUCCGCUGUGAAAGUCGGGGGCUCAACCCUCGAAUGCCGGUGGAUACUGUCGGGCUAGAGUGCGGAAGAGGCGAGUGGAAUUCCUGGUGUAGCGGUGAAAUGCGCAGAUAUCAGGAGGAACAACAAUUGCGAAGGCGGCAUCCUGGACCAACACUGACGCUGAGUGAGCGAAAGCCAGGGGAGCAAACGGG
rnacentral:rRNA from 1 species